rnacentral:misc_RNA from 1 species
GUGAGUCAUCGAAUCUUUGAACGCACAUUGCGCCCCUUGGUAUUCCGAGGGGCAUGCCCGUUCGAGCGUCAUUAUAACCCCUCAAGCCUAGCUUGGUGUUGGAGCCUGCUGUUACCGGCAGCUCUUAAAAUCAGUGGCGGUGCCAUCUGGCUCUAAGCGUAGUAAUACUUCUCGCUACAGGGUCCCGGUGGAUGCUUGCCAUCAACCCCUAAUUUUCUAUGGUUGACCUCGGAUCGGGUAGGGAUACCCGCUGAACUUAAGCAUAUCAAUAAGCGGAGGA